rnacentral:lncRNA from 1 species
CAGCUAUGGUAAAACGGGACAUGCCUGACUGAAAUGAAGAGCUCCUCAGUUUCCUGUCAAUCAAAGUGGAAGACAGGACCUGGCAUCUACCUCUUGGAACUCCAAAUCUGACUGGAGGCACAUGUACAAAAACAAGGCAAGUGAAUAAAACACCAUACAAGCAGAGUGAGUUUGUGGACCCAGAUUUCCAGCAAUGAACAGUCCAUGACCUCUCACAUACUUCCUAGUAUUUAUGAGAUGCUGGCCUGGCUGAAGGCAAGCAUAUAACAUGACCAUUCAACUCUGCCCCAUUAACAGUGGGCCCUAACCCAAGUAGCCAGCUGAGGUUUCUUCUGGGCAUGAGUUGUCUGAUGGAGAAUAAGAUGGGAGCUCUGGCCAAAGGCUCUUUCACACUCAUUACACUGAUAGGGUUUCUCCCCUGUGUGAAUUCUCUGAUGCACAAUAAGGUAUGAACUACAACUGAAAGCUUUGCCGCAUUCAUUACACUCAAAUGGCUUCUCCCCCGUGUGGAUCCUCUGAGGGACAGUGAGGCCUGAACUCCGGCUGAAGGCUUUCCC